CUCUGUCUCUGUACUUCUCUGUCUCUGGGCUUGUCUGUCUGUCUCUGCGCUUGUCUCUCUGUGCUUCUCUGUCUCUGUGCACUCAGAGAUUAGGUUGUGAGAGGUAGGUAAGAGCUAAGCUCAGCCCCUCCCUCCUUUUAUUUCCUCCCUCUUCCCCACAGCAGCAGAGUUCAGAUCCUGAUCAGCAGCCAAACGCACAGCAAGCACCAAGAUGACAGUUGGGAGUGGGCAGGUGUAUGUGGUGACUGGCGGCUGCGGAUUCCUGGGGUCACACCUCGUGCGGAUGUUGUUGGAACAUGAAAAGAACAUUAGUGAGAUCAGAGUGUUUGACCUGCACUUGGACGAGUCGCUCAGAACACUCAGCAAUGACAGAGUGAAAGUGCGUCUGAUCAGUGGCGACAUCUCUCGUUUGGAAGACGUGCGAGAGGCCCUGCGUGGGAGUCACCUGGUUAUACACACGGCCAGUCUCGUGGAUGUCUGGGGCCGGGUGCCCGCCAGUAAAAUCACUGAGGUCAAUGUUACAGGGACGAUGAAUGUGCUACAAGCGUGCAAGGAGGAAGAGGUGCAGUAUCUGGUCUAUACCAGUAGCAUGGAGGUGGUGGGGCCAAACAUCCACGGUGACCACUUCUACAGAGGCAAUGAAGACACAGAGUAUAGAAUAUAUCACAAAGAGCCGUAUCCACUGAGCAAGGCCAAAGCUGAAAAGCUUGUACUGGAAGCGAAUGGUGCAAAGAUUAAAGGUGGGAAAUUGCUCUACACUUGCUCCCUUCGUCCUACAGGGAUCUAUGGGGAGGGCCAUGAGCUCAUGAAGCAGUUCCACCGUCAGGGUUUGAGGACCGGUCGCUGUGUUUUCAGAGCUAUUCCUCCAGCCAUAGAGCAUGGACGUGUCUAUGUAGGUAACGUGGCCUGGAUGCACCUCUUAGCUGCACGCCAACUGCAGAUUCACCCAUCCACCUUGGGCGGGCAGGUAUACUUCUGCUACGACUCGUCUCCCUACAAAAGCUAUGAAGACUUCAAUAUGGAGUUCUUAUCAGCAUGUGGUUUCAAAAUUAUUGGAUCCCGCCCUCUUGUGCCUUACUUUUUGCUUUACCUACUGGCCUUACUGAAUGCCCUCAUGCAGUGGGUGCUACAUGGAUUCUUCACCUAUGCCCCCAUCCUUAACCCUUAUACCCUGGCAGUAGCCAGCACUACAUUCACUGUCCAGACGGACAAAGCUGAGAAGCACUUUGGGUACCAGCCGCUGUAUGCCUGGGAGGAAGCUAAAAAAAGGACGAUCACCUGGGUGAAGAGCUUGGAAGUCAGCAGGAAGGAUCUAAAAGAUGUGGGAGAAAAGGGCAACUAUUGUUGUAACUGAGGGCACCACCAACUGUGUGGAUGUUGGCAUGUGGAUAUACUUUGUUCAGAUCUAGAGAGUGGAUAAAGUAUACCAACAGCAAGGAGCUACAUGGACUACAAAAACACCACUAAGCAUUUCAUAACAUCUAUACCCCAAGAGGAAUAAUCCUUCAAGAAUCAUACCCCAACUCGUUCUGCGCCCCAGAAUUGAUCACAUUUUUGGAAUUCAUUGGACCAUUCCAUUAUCUCAUUUCCUCAAACAGCUAAAAAUUCAAUUAGUGCUACAAGCUAAAUCACUUUUAAAGUAUAUACGCAAACUUUUAAGGACCUUGUUGGAAGGAAGGCUUAUCAAGAAAUUGUUGUGAUUACUAGGGCCACGGCAGAUGUCUCCCAUCUAUAGGUCUUUGUAGGACACCACAAGACCUCAUGAAGCUUCAAUGACUGUAGGCAAAGACUUGAAAACAGAGUCUAUCCAGAGUAUGGUAUAUGUUGGGUUCUACCAAGCAUUGGGGACAGUUGCCCAUAUAUCUGUGAAUGGUACAAGGUGGCAUUUUAAAGAACGUGUGGCCCUUAUAAAGCUUUAUGUAGAAAAUUGCAGUAUUUCUAUUUAAACUCUGUGUAUGUAGGCCAUGGGCAGUAUUAUUAUUGACAGAUUGACGUGGCUUUACUUGCUAUAAAUACCAAUUGCCCUUUAACAUGGGGUUGGGCCUACAUAGCUAGACAAACAAAGGAUAAAGGACACUUUUUGAUAAUAUUCAACUAGAGUGUGUGUGAAGGUUCAGAGGUGCAGCAGUCCAUUGCAGUUAAUCCAUUGAUGCCACCAACAAGCCUAAAUUAAUCCUGAGCUCAAACAAGGUUCAGGAAGAGCUGCUUAUUCUGGAUGUGUAUGCCGUGCAUUUACUAAGCUAUAUGUAAUUUAGAGUAACAUCUUUAUUUCCACAGUUACUAUUUAUAAAUCAUAGCAAUGUUAUUUAAUUCUCUAUUUAAUUGUUUUUUUUUUAUGUACCAUGGUUUCAAGGGACCGGCAGCAAUAGAAAUAAUGAAGGACCAAAGGGUUCCAUGCGGGAAGUAGAAUUGGAUAUAAUCAUAACCGUUGGACAUGAGAUUGGAGUGAUAUAAAGCAUUGGAGUAGCAUGUAGAGUGAGUAGAGUGUAAAGUGAGCAAGGUCUUCAGAUAAAACCUUAUUGUUGGUAUUGGAAGAAAGUUCUAAUCAUUGAGAAAGAAGUGACCUCCUAAAUCUUUAUAUACAAACUUAGGAUCAGGAGGUGAUGCACUUUGCUUUUAAAACUCAAUAUACAAUUAAUAAGAGAUAUGCAGGGGUCUGGGGUACUCCCCUUCUUAUUAAACAAGAGCCUCUCUAUCAGCUGGUAUCUAAUACUGGUGGUAUAUUGAGAUAUACGUGCAAGUGGUGAGACAGUGGUGAGGAACAUCCAUAGUUUGUAGGUCCAUAACAACUUGAAGGCCUCAUGAUGGACAUCCUUGGAGUACAGUAGAAGAAGAGAAUGAAGAAGAGGGAAGACUAAGAAAAGACAUAUAAACAAGGGAAAAGAAGUCAUAAAUGUUUGCAUUUUAGGGAUAUUAGGGUUAUAGCUGGCAGAUUUAGAUUUGUUUGACUGAAUUGAAAGCCUUGUAUGGGACCAAAAUGAUCUCCUUUCCCAUUAUAUAAAUAUAUACCUCUUAAAUGCACUUUCCUCUCCUGAGAUAUUGGGGGGUGAAGGUGGAAUAAUCAGUUUUACAGAUGGGUUCUUGGUGAGGAACAUGCCACUGGAUUCGUAUGAGCAGUGCACUCAAUGCUUUUUGCUUUCCUUGACUGGUGGGUGGACAAAGAUGGUGGCAGUGACCAGAAUUCUGCCCUUAUCAAGACCCCAAGGUCAUCUUACUUUGUCUGCAUCACUGCCACGGUGAUGGAGGGGAGAGAUGACUGAAAUGAAGUGUCAUAACUUAAAGAUAAUGUUUAAGCCAAUAUUUAUGAUAAUAUCUACAAUUAAAAAGUAAUAUUUUAUUGUA